GUUGAAACACUAUUUCCUAUGCAAUCACCGAAGUUAAGCAAUGUCGAACCUGGUCAGUACCUAAAUGGGUGACCACUUGGGAAUAGCAGGUGCUGUAAG